rnacentral:rRNA from 1 species
UACGUAGGGGGCUAGCGUUGUCCGGAAUCAUUGGGCGUAAAGAGCGUGUAGGCGGCCCGGUAAGUCCGCUGUGAAAGUCGGGGGCUCAACCCUCGAAUGCCGGUGGAUACUGUCGGGCUAGAGUGCGGGAGAGGCGAGUGGAAUUCCUGGUGUAGCGGUGAAAUGCGCAGAUAUCAGGAGGAACACCGAUGGCGAAGGCAGGUCUCUGGGCUGACACUGACGCUCAUGCACGAAAGCGUGGGGAGCAAACAGG